CCUACGGGAGGCAGCAGUAGGGAAUCUUCCACAAUGGGCGAAAGUCUGAUGGAGCAACGCCGCGUGAGUGAAGAAGGGUUUCGGCUCGUAAAACUCUGUUAGUAGGGAAGAAAAAUAGAGGAAGUAACUAGCCUUUAUUUGACGGUAAUUACUUAGAAAGUCACGGCUAACUACGUGCCAGCAGCCGCGGUAAUACGUAGGUGGCAAGCGUUGUCCGGAUUUAUUGGGCGUAAAGCGAGUGUAGGCGGUUCAAUAAGUCUGAUGUGAAAGCCUUCGGCUCAACCGGAGAAUGGCAUAAGAAACUGGUGAACUUGAGGGCAGAAGAGGAGAGUGGAAUUCCAUGUGUAGCGGUGGAAUGCGUAGAUAUAUGGAAGAACACCAGUGGCGAAGGCGGCUUUCUGGUCUGCAACUGACGCUGAGGCUCGAAAGCAUGGGUAGCGAACAGGAUUAGAUACCCGAGUAGUC
rnacentral:rRNA from 1 species